rnacentral:tRNA from 1 species
GCGGCCGUAGUUCAGUGGUAGAGCGCUAGAUUGUGGUUCUAGAUGUCGCGGGUUCAAAUCCCGUCGGUCGCCC